AAAAUAUUAUAAAAUUCACUAGCUUGCAUGAUGUAGAACUUAGCUAUAUUGAACAUCACCAAGGAAUGCUAUCUUGCCUAUCUCAAGAAGCAAAAAGUUAACUUGCACAUCUAGCAAAACUUAUAUUUCAAGAAGCAAGAGUUGCUUUCUUGAACAUCUCAAAAUUGCUAGCUUGCAGGCCUUAAAAUGUAGAAAUUUUUUGCUAGCUUGUAUAUGGUAAACUUGCUAUCAUACUACUAUGAUGAUGAGCAUGCCUUAUCUUCAUGAUUAUAUUUGAAAAACUAUGGCAAAAAUAUGUUCGAAUGAUUAAAUGUGUUAAAAUUAUUUUUCGGACUCUUUUGAUUGAAUGAUCAAAUCACUUGAUU
rnacentral:lncRNA from 1 species